GGAAAAGAAAACAAAAGCAAAAGCAAAAAAACUAACUUGAGAUAUAGCUGAACUCAUAAUGUGUAUUUGUUUUUAUUUCCAGUUGCUGCUUACCAUUAGCUGUGCAAGACCAAAGGAUUUUGUGCUUUCUCUUGCCUAGUAAUUGUUCAGUCCAAAAUUUAACCAUGUUGUUUUUGUGUUAUUACCAGGAGCAAGAGGACAUGUGUAUUGGUGAGAGAAGAGGGGUGAGGAGUCAGGGAUAAGAUGAAUCUGAUUAACUUCAGGGGUUAUUAGAAUAAAUCUUGUAGGCUUGGAGAAUCUUGUAGGCUUGGAGAAUCUAGAGUUCUAUGAGAAAUGGUAAGCAGACUUCAUAAAUCCUGUCUGCGUUGCUGCUAUGAUCUUGGCCUUCCCCUGACAUACUCCCAAGAAAUAGAAACGAAUAGAAAUAGAAAUCUAAUAGAACUAGAAAUAGAAAUAUUUCCCAAGAAAUAGAAAGUAAAACUGACAAAGCCAAUGCAAAGAAAUCAGUUCGGAAGCUGUUAAUUUUCACACGAUCUGUGUUCAGUAACCGCCCUCUAUCGGCUCUCCUGAAUAGCACACUAUAUGGGACGGAGAAUCUGAAAGGCCUUUUUGCUGGUUUUCUUACUAACAGAGAGUUCAUAAACCAGGAUCUUCUUCAGCCUCCAAGGUAAGGAAAUGUGUGAUCUCCAAGCUCCCUCUUGUAUGUAUUGUGAACGCCACUGUCAGAAGAGAAACACCAAAGUUAUUCACCUGGAAAUGUUGCAGUAUGAAGACCAUGUAUUUGAUGGAGAGGUUAUUUAAAUGGUAACUUUGUUAAUGAAUUUCUUUGCUAACUUUCCCUGCUUUAUUUUCAUGCCAAAAACCAGAGAGGUACAGAGAACAGAACUCGGCACCACAGUCUAAAAGUGUUAAGUUUCAGGCACAACACUGCUGUUUUUGAGCUGUGGGUCCUCAGACAAGCCAUUUUAGCUUUCCGAGCCUCAGUUUCCCACUUGCCUGCUUCUUCACCACUUCCUGGGGUGAUAAGAGAAGACCAAAUGAUAUGUUUGUGAAGGUGCUUUGCCACUCAUGUACCCUAUGCAGACCCUAUUAUUAGUAGUACUUUAUAAAAGUAAGACAUCAUUUUCUCAUUUACAGGACUGAGGAUUAGAAAGAAUAAUGCUGGGUUUCUGGCUGCCUCCGCUUUUGAGGGCCUAGGAGGCAUUCUGACCUAAAGAGAGUAGGCAGUGGAGUCAGACAUAAAUGUAAACACUGUUAGUGUGACCUUUGCAGAUCAUCUGUCUGCCCUGUGCUUCUAUUAUGCUAUCUAUCUGCAAAGUAAAGAACUUCUUUACAAAAUGCCUCAUACAAGUGUGAAUACAACAAACAAGCUCCAUCUCUAAAGUUCUUCAUAGAAAACAGAAUUAUAAGACGCACUCAGUAUCCAAGGAUAAAUGAUACCAGGAAAGGGCCAAAGUUAAUUAAUCCUCUUACAAUAAAGAGCAUAUUUCAAGGUAAAUAAUAAAAAUAAUUAUCUUAAAAUUAACAAAAUGUAUAUGGUUAUUUGCAACUAUGCAUUAAUUCUUAGCCCAAAGAAUGUUGAGGAGUUGAUUUGGCAUGAAGAGGACACAUUUUCUUGGACAAAAUUAUAGGAUGGCACAGUGCGACUUUGUUUAGCUCAUACUACCUUUCGGUAACACCAUCAAAGGGGAUCUUUUUUACCAAAAACAUUUUUUAAAUCAAGGGUUUUCAUCAAUUUUCCAAAGGGAUUAAAAAAAUUCCCUGACAUUUAAGCUGGUACAUUUUGGAAGCAUUUCUUGUAUCAUCAUCCUUACCCAUUACUCUUCUUUAGUGUUAAUUUAUAUGAUUCCUUGUCCGUUUUUUUUCUUCAGUUUUUACCUAGUCUGUUGACACGUGACUAUACUUGAUGUUGGAGCAGUUCUCCAACAUUAUUUUCAUCAAUUUCAUGAAAUUCUGCAUCUUUUGCAAGAAUCACAACUCCACUUUGCCAUCUAUUUGACUUGUGUUGUCAGAUGUUUACAGUAUUCUACAAGCAAUAAGAGUUAGGCUGAAAAAGUUUUGACUUGUGAUCAGGGAUAGUCAUUCAAGCUAAGCAGAGAAGAUUGUUUGAAAGGGGAACAAUUUUAUGGGUGUUCGGUUCAUGAGUGAAUACUUUCAUGUAAUGGCAAAUAUUCCUAUAUAAUCAUGUUCUAGAGGAAUUUAAGUAAUGAAAACUCAGAUAAGAAGGAGUCUCUGGGCCAGGUGCGGUGGCUCAUGCCUGUAAUUCUAGCACUUUGGAAGGCUGAGGCAGGCGGAUCAUGAGGUCAGGAGAUCGAGAC
rnacentral:lncRNA from 10 species